ACAUUAGCUCGACCUUCUUGUCAACAGACCGCCAGGUUGGUCUUAUAAAAUUGUUCCAUACGUUUAGUGGUGCUUUUACGACAGUUUGCAAGCAAUGCAGUACUUGGAAAAUGACACGUGUUUUACCAUAAAAUAAGGAAAUAUAUGCUAAAGUAGAAAAAUAAUAUGUAAAUUGUGUAAUACCAAACGUAUGUAUCCUUCGUAACGGCUGUAUUGUUUUCGAUCUGUCAAAUAAAUAUAUCGACGUCAUGGAUCAACUUUAUAUGCACAUGUUUCAUCCUCGCAGUAUCGGGCGACAGGGACAAUUUGUUAGCUGAUCAAACUAAUUACCAAGACAUAUUGACCGUACGACGUACGGAUCUUUCUCGAAGGAUUCUGACUACUUAAUUCAAAUCUAGGUUUUAACAUUGAUGACGUGCCACUAAAAUAUAUGAAAUUGUACCAUUGAUCUUCCACAAGGAAAUUGACACGUACCGAGCACCAUGGGAAUCUCAAUAUGGCAAGGAAGUUUUACAAAAUCAAUGGACGAGUUUUCAAUCUGAUCAAAAGGAAAUAAAAUUGUUUAUGAUACGAAUGUAACUUUAAAUGGCUUUGAAUGAAAAUCUUUGAUUUAUAUGGGAUAGCGAUACUAUCUGUAACUGGAUAAGCAAACAAAAAUGUAAUAUGAAAAAUUGGAAAAUAUGAUUACAGAGAAUUUUACUUGUUUUAAAAAAAAAAAUAUAAACAGGUAUCGCGUGCCUAUAGGUAUAAGGAUCCGAGAAAUAUCGAUAAGUAAAAAUACGAGUAUUUCCAAAAAGUUGCUUAUACGCGAUAAUUCAGAUCUAGCAUCCUGUGGUAGAAAUUAAUGGAUAUUUUUUCUGAUUCUUAUAAUAUAGUAUAAUGAAAAUAUAUUAUCUGAUUUAUUUCUGUGAGUUCUGUCGAGUUUCUAUCUAUAGAAACCGAAGGAUUUACACGACCUAAGAUGCCUUCGAAUUUAGCUAUACAGGGUGUCCAGAAAGUGCCGCCUAUGGUUAGUAUAGCGCUACACCUGGUCAAAAACUGAGUCUAAAUGUCCUGUACCAUUUUUGCGCAUGAUGCUCUAUUAAAAAGUAAUUGUGGUGUGCUUUAAAUUUUCAUAUUACUCAUUCGUCACAUACCAAAGUUAACGCCGCGUAUUGUGAAUUCGCUCAAACUAUUCGUUAAUGUGUACUAAGCAUAAUCUCAUUUCUGAUUGGCUAAUUAUAAUUCUUAAUAACUUGUUAAUAAGACACAACACAAAAAAAUAAUUAAGGACUUUUUGACUUAGUUUUGUAUGAGGAAUAUCGGGAUGAUAAUCAUAUGCGUUAAUUUCUGGACACCCCGUAUAUACUUUUUCGUUCAACUAUCCACAUUGGAGUUAGGGAUCCUCGUUAUGGAACUAUGUAUCGCGAGAGGAUUCUUUCAAGGAAAAAACUAGAUGAAGAGUGAAACGAGAAAGACGGAUAGGCUGAGCAGAGCUAAUAAAGGACAUAAAAUGUGAAAGGAUCACGUCAAAUCAUGAAUUCAAUAUCUGUCAGCUGUUACUUGGGAUUGGGAAAACCAGAAAGGACGCCAAGUAAGGAAGACUAUUUUUACCACGCUUCUUGGAAAACUGGCAAAGCAUCAAAAAGGAAAAAGAUAGAAGGGGAUGAACAUUCUAAUCUGGUUUAUGAGAGCAAAUUGCAGGAAGUUUAUGGCGCGUAAUGGGUUCCUCGCCGGAUUCAAAGUUAGGGGUUGCAUUCAGAUAGACAUUACCCCCCAGCUGAAUGGUUCCAUAAUCGAAUUUCGCUGUACGAAAUAAAUUAACAAUUAAUCCAAAAAAAAGUCGUGAUCGACU